UGGAGGCAGCAGUGGGGAAUAUUGCACAAUGGGCGAAAGCCUGAUGCAGCAACGCCGCGUGCGCGAAGAAGGCCUUCGGGUCGUAAAGCGCUUUUCGGGGAGAAGAGGAAGGACGGUAUCCCCGGAAUAAGGCUCGGCUAACUACGUGCCAGCAGCCGCGGUAAAACGUAGGAGCCAAGCGUUAUCCGAAUUCACUGGGCGUAAAGCGCGUGCAGGCGGCCGGAUAAGUUGGCUGUGAAAUCUCCUGGCUCAACUGGGAGAGGCCGGUCAAUACUGUCUGGCUCGAGGGCGACAGAGGGAGGUGGAAUUCCGGGUGUAGUGGUGAAAUGCGUAGAUAUCCGGAGGAACACCAGAGGCGAAGGCGACCUCCUGGGUCGUACCUGACGCUCAGAUGCGAAAGCUAGGGGAGCGAACGGGAUUAGAUACCCCGGUAGA
rnacentral:rRNA from 1 species